UACGGAGGGUGCAAGCGUUAUCCGGAUUCACUGGGUUUAAAGGGUAGCGUAGGAGGGUCUGUAAGUCAGCGGUGAAAUCUCCGAGCUUAACUCGGGAAACUGCCAUUGAUACUAUAGAUCUUGAAUACCGUGGAGGUGGAGCGGAAUAUGUCAUGUAGCGGUGAAAUGCUUAGAUAUGACAUAGAACACCAAUUGCGAAGGCAGCUCACUACACGCAUAUUGACUCUGAGGCACGAAAGCGUGGGGAUCAAACAGG
rnacentral:rRNA from 1 species